GCGAAUGUGGCGGAACAGGCAGACGCGCCGGAUUUAGGAUCCGGUGGGGUAACCCGUGGGGGUUCGACUCCCCCCAUUCGCA
rnacentral:tRNA from 1 species